GAAGAGGAGCGCCUGGCGGGGGUGCUGGAUUUGCUGAGGCUCGUCAGCCGGCGUUGGUGUAUGCAGCUCGUCGCCGAGAGGAGGGUGAUGCACCUGACAUCAUAACUGGUACGUUUCUGAUUUUCAGUAUGCCAUACACUGCGUGUAACGCCCCCACGCCCGAAACUGUCGCCGGAGUCGAGCUUGAGGGUUACCGAACAUAAUUUAUCAAAUUAAGAACUUCAAAUCAUUUGUUUCUACAUUCACAGC
rnacentral:lncRNA from 1 species